rnacentral:rRNA from 1 species
UACGGAGGGUGCAAGCGUUAUCCGGAUUCACUGGGUUUAAAGGGUGCGUAGGCGGAUAUGUAAGUCCGUGGUGAAAUCUCUGGGCUUAACCCGGAAACUGCCAUGGAUACUAUGUGUCUUGAAUGUUGUUGAGGUGAGCGGAAUAUGUCAUGUAGCGGUGAAAUGCUUAGAUAUGACAUAGAACACCAAUUGCAAAGGCAGCUCACUAAGCAAAUAUUGACGCUGAGGCACGAAAGCGUGGGGAUCAAACAGG